AAUCGCUAGGCUACUGGCUGGGCCCUUCUGCUGGAGAUUUGUCACCGUGUAAAGUAUUGUUCUCUUUUGUUUUUCCAGACUGGUGAGAGAAAGAGCGGGCUCUUGUACCUACUCACGGGACUGUUUCUGCAUUUCAUCCUGUGACCAAAGUGGAGGUUUUCCCACCCUCAGGGCUUGAGUGAAUUCAGGAAAUAAGACUUGCGUUACUUAAGAAUGCCCAGUGUCUUUUUUGGAAGGGAAGACCCAGGCUGUGCUACAUUGCCAUUAAUGGAAAUGCAAGCCUGUCUAAAGCCUCAAUCAGAGAACUAGCAACAAGCGCGUAAAAACAGCGCUCCGCAAAGAACGACUGCAGCUCAG
rnacentral:lncRNA from 1 species